UGUGACCUCAAAUCAGGUAGGACUACCCGCUGAACUUAAGCAUAUCAAUAAGCGGAGGAAAAGAAACUAACAAGGAUUCCCCUAGUAACUGCGAGUGAAGCGGGAAAAGCUCAAAUUUAAAUCUGUCAGUCUUUUUGGCUGUCCGAGUUGUAAUCUAGAGAAGUGUUAUCCGCGCUGGACCGUGUACAAGUCUCCUGGAAUGGAGCGUCGUAGAGGGAUGAGAAUCCCGUCUUUGACACGGACUGCCAGGGCUUUGUGAUGCGCUCUCAAAGAGUCGAGUUGUUUGGGAAUGCAGCUCAAAAAUGGGUGGUAAAUUCCAUCUAAAGCUAAAUAUUGGCGAGAGACCGAUAGCGAACAAGUACCGUGAGGGAAAGAUGAAAAGAACUUUGGAAAGAGAGUUAAACAGUACGUGAAAUUGCUGAAAGGGAAACGCUUGAAGUCAGUCGCGUUGACCAGGGAUCAACCUUUGCUUUUGCUGGGUGUACUUUCUGGUUGACGGGUCAGCAUCAAUUUUGACCAUUGGAAAAAGAUUAGGGGAAUGUGGCAUCUUUGGAUGUGUUAUAGCCUCUGGUUGCAUACAAUGGUUGAGAUUGAGGAACUCAGCACGCCGCAAGGCCGGGUUUUUAACCACGUACGUGCUUAGGAUGUUGGCAUAAUGGCUUUAAUCGACCCGUCUUGAAACACGGACCAAGGAGUCUAACAUACCUGCGAGUGUUUGGGUGGAAAACCCGAGCGCGUAAUGAAAGUGAAAGUUGAGAUCCCUGUCGUGGGGAGCAUCGACGCCCGGACCAGACCUUUUGUGACGGUUCCGCGGUAGAGCAUGUAUGUUGGGACCCGAAAGAUGGUGAACUAUGCCUGAAUAGGGUGAAGCCAGAGGAAACUCUGGUGGAGGCUCGUAGCGAUUCUGACGUGCAAAUCGAUCGUCAAAUUUGGGUAUAGGGGCGAA
rnacentral:rRNA from 1 species